AUAAGAUCCGUAGUCGAAAGGGAAACAGCCCAGACCACCAGUUAAGGUCCCCAAAUAUAUGUUAAGUGGAAAAGGAUGUGGGGUUGCUUAGACAACCAGGAUGUUGGCUUAGAAGCAGCCACCAUUGAAAGAGUGCGUAAUAGCUCACUGGUCGAGUGACCCCGCGCCGAAAAUGUACCGGGGCUAAACAUAUUACCGAAACUGUGGAUGAACCUCUUUAGAGGUUCGUGGUAGGAGAGCGUUCUAAGGGCGGUGAAGUCAGACCGGAAGGACUGGUGGAGCGCUUAGAAGUGAGAAUGCCGGUAUGAGUAGCGAAAGAAGGGUGAGAAUCCCUUCCACCGAAUAUCUAAGGUUUCCUGAGGAAGGCUCGUCCGCUCAGGGUUAGUCGGGACCUAAGCCGAGGCCGAUAGGCGUAGGCGAUGGACAACAGGUAGAGAUUCCUGUACCAGUGCUAAUUGUUUAACCGAUGGGGUGACACAGAAGGAUAGGGAAUCGCACGAAUGGAAAUGUGCGUCCAAGCAGUGAGUGUGAGAAGUAGGCAAAUCCGCUUCUCGCGAAGCAUGAGCUGUGAUGGGGAAGGAAAUUAAGUACGGAAGUUCCUGAUUUCACGCUGUCAAGAAAAGCCUCUAGGAAGAGUAGUACUGCCCGUACCGCAAACCGACACAGGUAGAUGAGGAGAGAAUCCUAAGGUGAGCGAGAGAACUCUCGUUAAGGAACUCGGCAAAAUGACCCCGUAACUUCGGGAGAAGGGGUGCUCUAUUAGGGUGCAAGCCCGAGAGAGCCGCAGUGAAUAGGCCCAGGCGACUGUUUAGCAAAAACACAGGUCUCUGCAAAACCGUAAGGUGACGUAUAGGGGCUGACGCCUGCCCGGUGCUGGAAGGUUAAGAGGAGUGCUUAGCUUCGGCGAAGGUACGAAUUGAAGCCCCAGUAAACGGCGGCCGUAACUAUAACGGUCCUAAGGUAGCGAAAUUCCUUGUCGGGUAAGUUCCGACCCGCACGAAAGGCGCAACGAUCUGGGCACUGUCUCAACGAGAGACUCGGUGAAAUUAUAGUACCUGUGAAGAUGCAGGUUACCCGCGACAGGACGGAAAGACCCCGUGGAGCUUUACUGCAACCUGAUAUGGAAUGUUUGUACCGCUUGUACAGGAUAGGUAGGAGCCGAAGAGACGUGUGCGCUAGCAUACGAGGAGGCAAUGGUGGGAUACUACCCUGGCUGUAUGACCAUUCUAACCCGCCACGCUUAGCGCGUGGGGAGACAGUGUCAGGUGGGCAGUUUGACUGGGGCGGUCGCCUCCUAAAGAGUAACGGAGGCGCCCAAAGGUUCCCUCAGAAUGGAUGGAAAUCAUUCGCAGAGUGUAAAGGCACAAGGGAGCUUGACUGCGAGACUGACAAGUCGAGCAGGGACGAAAGUCGGGCUUAGUGAUCCGGUGGUUCCGCAUGGAAGGGCCAUCGCUCAACGGAUAAAAGCUACCCCGGGGAUAACAGGCUUAUCUCCCCCAAGAGUCCACAUCGACGGGGAGGUUUGGCACCUCGAUGUCGGCUCGUCGCAUCCUGGGGCUGUAGUCGGUCCCAAGGGUUGGGCUGUUCGCCCAUUAAAGCGGCACGCGAGCUGGGUUCAGAACGUCGUGAGACAGUUCGGUCCCUAUCCGUCGCGGGCGCAGGAAAUUUGAGAGGAGCUGUCCUUAGUACGAGAGGACCGGGAUGGACACACCGCUGGUGUACCAGUUGUUCCGCCAGGAGCAUCGCUGGGUAGCUAUGUGUGGCAGGGAUAAACGCUGAAAGCAUCUAAGCGUGAAGCCCCCCUCAAGAUGAGAUUUCCCAUUUCUUCGGAAAGUAAGAUCCCUGAAAGAUGAUCAGGUAGAUAGGUUUGGAGUGGAAGUGUAGCGAUACAUGGAGCGGACAAAUACUAAUCGAUCGAGGACUUAACCAA
rnacentral:rRNA from 1 species